rnacentral:rRNA from 1 species
ACUCAAAGGAAUUGACGGGGGCCCGCACAAGCGGAGGAACAUGUGGUUUAAUUCGAUGAUACGCGAGGAACCUUACCCGGGCUUGAAUUGCAGAGGAACAUAGUUGAAAGAUUAUGGCCGCAAGGUCUCUGUGAAGGUGCUGCAUGGUUGUCGUCAGCUCGUGCCGUGAGGUGUCGGCUUAAGUGCCAUAACGAGCGCAACCCUUAUCAUUAGUUACUAACAGGUCAUGCUGAGGACUCUAGUGAGACUGCCGUCGUAAGAUGUGAGGAAGGUGGGGAUGACGUCAAAUCAGCACGGCCCUUACGUCCGGGGCUACACACGUGUUACAAUGGGGGGUACAGAGGGCAGCUACCGGGCGACCGGAUGCCAAUCCCAAAAACCUCUCUCAGUUCGGAUCGAAGUCUGCAACCCGACUUCGUGAAGCUGGAUUCGCUAGUAAUCGCGCAUCAGCCACGGCGCGGUGAAUACGUUCCCGGGCCUUGUACACACCGCCCGU